rnacentral:lncRNA from 1 species
GAAAUCUUGGCCAGUACAUCCAGAAAGGGAUCGCCAUGGCCUGAAGUUCAUCUUUCAUAUGUGUAGACCCUACAAAAACUCAUGAAAAAUUAACUACGGCUCUUCUUUUAGCCCACAAUUUGAUGCGUGGUUGACUAAACUUUCUCAUGCGACAUGGAUCACGUCGUUGUGAGAAAGGCCAAAUGUUUCCUCGAGUUGAUGAUUCUUCGAAGAAAGAAGACACUUACGCUUUGAUUGUCCCUAGAAUUUUGUUCUUAUCAAAAAUAAAUACGUGUCUUGCUUGUUAGAGAACGAGUUCAUUGGACAUGGUUAAGUUGGAUGGGAACCAUCUGGUAUUUACCUUCUAUCUAUGAAAAUCUCAUGAGUGUAACUUGUUCUUGUUGACUGUUUCUGGUAAGAACUGUUAUAAACGACUCUCUAAUUCUUCUUUGUAUUUAUGAACUAUUAAAGUGGUCAACUCUAAAUGUUAUAACCUUUAUAUUUAUG